rnacentral:rRNA from 1 species
AAGAACCUUACCUGGCCUUGACAUCCCGAUGACCGGCGUGUAAUGACGCCUUUUCUUCGGAACAUUGGAGACAGGUGGUGCAUGGUUGUCGUCAGCUCGUGUCGUGAGAUGUUGGGUUAAGUCCCGCAACGAGCGCAACCCUUAUCUUCAGUAGCCAGCAAUUCGGUUGGGCACUCUGGAGAGACUGCCAGGGAGAACCUGGAGGAAGGUGGGGAUGACGUCAAAUCAUCAUGCCCCUUAUGGCCAGGGCUACACACGUGCUACAAUGGCGUAAACAAAGGGAAGCGAGCAUGUGAGUGUGAGCAAAUCUCAAAAAUAACGUCUCAGUUCGGAUUGUAGUCUGCAACUCGACUACAUGAAGCUGGAAUCGCUAGUAAUCGCGGAUCAGCAUGCCGCGGUGAAUACGUUCCCGGGUCUUGUACACACCG